GUCAGUGAACUGCUCCAGCAGCGUCCUCUCUAUGAUGCGCUUGGGCGCCUUGUUCUGAAAGAAGUAAACCAGAGCGUGCUGCAGACGAGCAUCCUCCCGCGGUGUUGUCUCCUCCUGCGCAAGCUCGUACAAGCGGGAGUACUCUUCGUGGAAGGCCUGGGGAAGAUAUUGUCAUAUUGUCAUCAUAAUUUGGAUAUAAAUAAACUCCUCAUGUAAUGUCACUGAGAUGAAUGCAGCAGAAAAAAACAGGCAGUGUGUCUAAAAAGAUACAUUCCAGGCAUCUUCACGGACAAGAGACCCACCUUAAUGAGUCCAGCCUCGGGACCUUCUGUGUCGAAUGUUUGUCUGGCCUUUGCAAUGGCCAGGAUGAUGCCCUGCAUAGCUGGAGUCAGCAUCAUCUGUCAAAGGAGGGACCUGCUCCUCCUGUGGCUCCUCGUCCUUCCGAUCUGCUUCAUACUGAGUAGGCUCCUCAGAGGAGGGCUCCGGGUCAUGUUGAGAUUCUUCUUCUUCUUUCUCCUCUCUGUCCUCUUUCUUUAGCAAGAGGUUGCAAGGUGGCUGACUGCUACUGAGCUCCACUUCAGGGCCAGGAGUCUGACAGAUAAAGAUAUGCUGUAUAACUAGACAUCAAAACAAAAUUGACAGUAUUUACUAAAAAUUCAAUGACUGGGUUUUGUGGGCCCUUUAUGAGGAAUGGUGCACCGUACACUGAAGUCUCCAGAGAGUGAUCCUCUUUAGCUCCAUAUAAAAAUGUGUGAAAUGCAA